rnacentral:lncRNA from 1 species
UCUAGGGUUUGGCAGCUCCGUUUGGCUCCGGUGGCUUCUAUAGCACCGGAGUUAAGCCUCUCUUUUUACCUCUUGCUCUCUAUUUGCCUUUGUUUGCUGCGCUAGGGCCAUCGAAGUUGCUCUUUGUUUUCAUCGGUGGUUCCUCUCUUGUUGAAUUCUCUGUUUGUUUCGGCGGGGACUUUAAGGGCAGCUUGGGUCUCAGCCAUGGAGUCCAGGGGUGGUGCUGAAGGCGUUGAGGUUGGGUUUCGCCGGUUUUAACCCAGAUCUGUGUUUCUUUGUUCCUCUCUUGUGCUGUCUCUCUUUGAUGCCUCGGUGAUGAGGUGCGGAGGUGGUAUUGAGGUUCUGUCUAAAGUCUCUUGCUCAUGGUAAGGCUGCUUUGACUUUGAAGGGAGAUCUGGGGUUUGGUUUGUCUCAUCGUUUCUUGCGGUUUGUUGCCCUUUUCCUCCUUGUCCGACCAUUUUUUGGGUUUGCUCUUUGGUUGUGUUAGAUGUUUCUGUAUGUGGUAGCUCCAUUGGUAUCGGUCUUUUGUGGUCUUGCCUCCUCGUCGUUCAUCCGCUUUUGGCUUUGCUAGAGAUUGCCUUUGUUCAUCCCGGUUCGAUCUCUUGCCGAUUUUUAGUGAUUUCGGUAUGGUCCGGGUUGUUUGGGUUCGCUCCUUGUCUCUACGUUAUAGAUCUGAUUGAGAUCUCAUCAGUUCGUUAUUGGAAUCUACGAGGCGUUAAAUAAUCGGUUUCCUUCGAUUGCACCGUGUUCGGGAGCUCUGUUGUGGUCUACGAUGUCUUUUGGCCUAGAUCCCGUCUCGCCGUUCGGAUUUCUUCAGAACCCUUGCUUUGUGUGGUAGUCUUCAUCCGCUAUAGGUGGAAUCACUCUCCGUUAGUUGGGAUUUUCAUCCCUUUCGGUGACAUUCGUGGAAGGCUCUCCUCUCUUUAGGCUUUGCGGUUGAUGUUGUUGUGUGGUUAGAUUCCGAUUUUCCUUUGUUUGCUGUCCAUGUUUCAGUUUUUUUCUUUGUUGCCAUUGUUUGUUUUGGUUUGCUUUGCCUUUUGGUGUUAGCUAAAAAGGUUCUCAUGUCUUUGGACAUAGUUUCCGGGGUUGUGUUGUUAACCGCCGGCUUAGUUUCCGGGGAUAUGUUUGUUUUCCGCCGGCUUAGUUUUCGGGAUUACAUUGUUAAUCGCCGACUUUGUGUUAUGGUUUGUAUUAUGGCUCUUCGGAUCUUUAAUAAAAUUUCUACCAGAUGACAAAAAAAAAGAAAG